rnacentral:rRNA from 1 species
UACAGAGGGGCAAGCGUUGUUCGGAAUUACUGGGCGUAAAGGGCGCGUAGGCGGCCCGCUAAGUCGAACGUGAAAUCCCCGAGCUCAACUCGGGAACUGCGUCCGAUACUGGGGGGCUUGAAUCCGGGAGAGGGAUGCGGAAUUCCAGGUGGUAGCGGUGAAAUUCGUAGAUAUCGGGAGGAACACCAGUGGCGAAGGCGGCGAUCUGGGAAGAUACUGACGCUGAGGUGCGAAAGCGUGGGGAGCAACAGG